CCUUUUACKUGCAAGUCSAGCGGACAGAUGGGAGCUUGCUCCCUGAUGUUAGCGGCGGACGGSYGAUUAACACGUGGGUAACCUGCCUGUAAGACUGGGAUAACUCCGGKAAACCGGGGCUAAUACCGGAUGGUUGUYUGAAYCGCAUGGUUCAGACAUAAAAGGUGGCUUCGGCUACCACUUACAGAUGGACCCGCGGCGCAUUAGCUAGUUGGUGRGGUAACGGCUCACCAAGGCGACGAUGCGUAGCCGACCUGAGAGGGUGAUCGGCCACACUGGGACUGAGACACGGCCCAGACUCCUACGGGAGGCAGCAGUAGGGAAUCUUCCGCAAUGGACGAAAGUCUGACGGAGCAACGCCGCGUGAGUGAUGAAGGUUUUCGGAUCGUAAAGCUCUGUUGUUAGGGAAGAACAAGUGCCGUUCAAAUAGGGCGGCRCCUUGACGGUACCUAACCAGAAAGCCACKGCUAACUACGUGCCAGCAGCCGCGGUAAUACGUAGGUGGCAAGCGUUGUCCGGAAUUAUUGGGCGUAAAGGGCUCGCAGGYGGUUUCUUAAGUCUGAUGUGAAAGCCCCCGGCUCAACCGGGGAGGGUCAUUGGAAACUGGGGAACUUGAGUGCAGAAGAGGAGAGUGGAAUUYCYACGUGUAGCGAUGAAAUGCGUAGAGAUGUGGAGGAACACCAGYGGCSAAKGCGACUCUCUGGUCCUGYAACUGACGCUGAKGAGCGAAAGC
rnacentral:rRNA from 1 species